rnacentral:rRNA from 1 species
UUGUCAUGCCAAUGGCACUGCCCGGUAGCUAAAUGCGGAAGAGAUAAGUGCUGAAAGCAUCUAAGCACGAAACUUGCCCCGAGAUGAGUUCUCCCUGACUCCCUGAGAGUCCUGAAGGAACGUUGAAGACGACGACGUUGAUAGGCCGGGUGUGUAAGCGCAGCGAUGCGUUGAGCUAACCGGUACUAAUGAACCGUGAGGCUUAACCUUACAACGCCGAAGCUGUU